GCAUGUUCACAUGAUUAAAGGUAUUCCGGUAGACGAUGGGGAUGCGUUCCAUUAGAUAGUAGGCGGGGUAACGGCCCACCUAGUCUUCGAUGGAUAGGGGUUCUGAGAGGAAGGUCCCCCACAUUGGAACUGAGACACGGUCCAAACUCCUACGGGAGGCAGCAGUGAGGAAUAUUGGCCAAUGGGCGAGAGCCUGAACCAGCCAAGUAGCGUGAAGGAUGACUGCCCUAUGGGUUGUAAACUUCUUUUAUAAAGGAAUAAAGUCGGGUAUGCAUACCCGUUUGCAUGUACUUUAUGAAUAAGGAUCGGCUAACUCCGUGCCAGCAGCCGCGGUAAUACGGAGGAUCCGAGCGUUAUCCGGAUUUAUUGGGUUUAAAGGGAGCGUAGAUGGAUGUUUAAGUCAGUUGUGAAAGUUUGCGGCUCAACCGUAAAAUUGCAGUUGAUACUGGAUAUCUUGAGUGCAGUUGAGGCAGGCGGAAUUCGUGGUGUAGCGGUGAAAUGCUUAGAUAUCACGAAGAACUCCGAUUGCGAAGGCAGCCUGCUAAGCUGCAACUGACAUUGAGGCUCGAAAGUGUGGGUAUCAAACAGGAUUAGAUACCCUGGUAGUCCACACGGUAAACGAUGAAUACUCGCUGUUUGCGAUAUACAGCAAGCGGCC
rnacentral:rRNA from 1 species